GACGUAGGGCGCGAGCGUUGUCCGGAUUUAUUGGGCGUAAAGAGCUCGUAGGCGGUCUGUCGCGUCUGUUGUGAAAACUCGAGGCUCAACCUCGGGCUUGCAGUGGAUACGGGCAGACUAGAGUGCGGUAGGGGAGACUGGAAUUCCUGGUGUAGCGGUGGAAUGCGCAGAUAUCAGGAGGAACACCGAUGGCGAAGGCAGGUCUCUGGGCCGCAACUGACGCUGAGGAGCGGAAAGCAUGGGGGAGCGAACAGG
rnacentral:rRNA from 1 species